GGACGAACGCUGGCGGCGUGCCUAACACAUGCAAGUCGAGCGAAGAACUUAUCAUGACACCUUCGGGUAGAUUGAUAAACUUCUUAGCGGCGGAUGGGUGAGUAACGCGUGAGGAACCUGCCUUCCACAAGGGGAUAGCCUCGGGAAACCGGGAUUAAUACCCUAUGAUACUUCCAAGUCACAUGACAGGGAAGUUAAAGCGUUAGCGGUGGAAGAUGGCCUCGCGUCCCAUUAGCUAGUUGGUGAGGUAACGGCUCACCAAGGCUACGAUGGGUAGCCGGCUUGAGAGAGCGACCGGCCACACUGGAACUGAGACACGGUCCAGACUCCUACGGGAGGCAGCAGUAGGGAAUUUUCCGCAAUGGGCGCAAGCCUGACGGAGCAACGCCGCGUGAGGGAUGAAGGUCUUCGGAUCGUAAACCUUUGUCAUCGAGGAAGAUAAUGACGGUACUCGAGGAGGAAGCCCCGGCUAACUACGUGCCAGCAGCCGCGGUAACACGUAGGGGGCGAGCGUUGUCCGGAAUUACUGGGCGUAAAGGGUACGCAGGCGGUCAUGUAAGUCAGAUGUGAAAUCCUAAGGCUUAACCUUAGUAAGCAUUUGAAACUGCGUGGCUUGAGUUAAGGAGAGGAAAGUGGAAUUCCUGGUGUAGCGGUGAAAUGCGUAGAUAUCAGGAGGAAUACCAGUGGCGAAGGCGACUUUCUGGCCUUAAACUGACGCUGAGGUACGAAAGCGUGGGGAGCAAACAGGAUUAGAUACCCUGGUAGUCCACGCUGUAAACGAUGAGUGCUAGGUGUCGGGUGUCAAAGCUCGGUGCCGCAGUAAACACAUUAAGCACUCCGCCUGGGGAGUACGUUCGCAAGAAUG
rnacentral:rRNA from 1 species